rnacentral:misc_RNA from 1 species
UUGAUAUAGGUGUUGAUUUAA